ensembl:miRNA
GUGAGGACUGAGUCAGAGAUUGGCAUCCCUUUUCAGUGGUGCCCAGUGCCAGGACAAGGGGCAGUGGGCACAAACUGGAAGACAGGCGGCUUUGUCUGAACACCAGGCAG